UCACAGAAUUUAAGGAUGCAAACCAUUG
rnacentral:piRNA from 1 species